UUUAAAUGCAGUCAUGAGUUUCUCUGUCUAACUUUGAUCAUCGUCUUAUUUAAAUUUUUUUAUGAUUAGUAUGUUUAUUGUUAUUAAAUGAUAAAAAAUAAAUAUUACAUUAUGCGUAACUUAUAUUUUUUAUUUUUUUUCAAAAAUUUUUUAAAUAAAACAAACGAUUAAAGUUGGAUACAGAAACUGGUUGUGUUUUAA
rfam:Oryza sativa Japonica Group DNA, chromosome 1, cultivar: Nipponbare, complete sequence.